rnacentral:rRNA from 1 species
UACGGAGGGUGCAAGCGUUGCUCGGAAUUAUUGGGCGUAAAGGGUAGGUAGGUGGUCUUAUUUGUCUGGGGUGAAGGCCUUGAGCUUAACUCAAGAAGUGCCCCAGAAACGGUGAGACUAGAGUCUUGGAGAGGGUCGUGGAAUUCCCGGUGUAGCGGUGAAAUGCGUAGAGAUCGGGAGGAACACCAGAGGCGAAGGCGGCGACCUGGACAAGUACUGACACUCAACUACGAAAGCGUGGGGAGCAAACAGG